UGGCCCAAAGUGAAUCGUGCCGGACGGCCUAGAUUGGAUCGCGAUGAACAACCCAAAUUCACUCCCUAUUUAAUCGGAAUCGGAUAAUCUAGAUCAAACGCAGUGGACAGCCCAAAUCAAAAGUUGAUGGGUAUAAAUAACCCUAUCCACACCCAAACCCUAACCCUAGCUGCCAGAACCCCUCGCAAGAGAAGACAACCCAGCCGUCUGGGAAUCGAUCGCCGCCGCACCGGAACCCUUUUCGAUGGCCAAAAAAGGUCAAAAAAAAAUUUUUUGCACAAAAUUCAAUUUUAAACUUACCCAUGGCCAAAUCAGAGUGAAAGAACAAGCCAAUUGGCCGAAAAACACCGACGAAGCCUAGUGGUGCCGCCGCGGGGAAUUUCAUAAACCACCUCCGAUGAGGCCCUUCCCGAUUCCUAUUUUGCAUAAUUUUUCUACCGUUGUGAUUACCGUUUUCUUCUCUAUAGGUUGACUGAAGUGAAACACCUAACUGUAAUGUGAGUCG
rnacentral:lncRNA from 1 species